rnacentral:rRNA from 1 species
GAACCGUCCAAACGUUUAUUCGGAAUCACUGGGCUUAAAGGGUGCGUAGGCGGCCCGGCAAGUUGGGUGUGAAAUCCCUCGGCUCAACCGAGGAAUGGCGCCCAAAACUGCCGGGCUAGAGGGAGACAGAGGUGAGCGGAACUUGCGGUGGAGCGGUGAAAUGCGUUGAUAUCGCAAGGAACACCAGUAGCGAAAGCGGCUCACUGGGUCUCUUCUGACGCUCAGGCACGAAAGCUAGGGGAGCGAACGGGAUUAGAUACCCCGGGUUGUCCUAGCUGUAAACGAUGAGCACUGGGCUGGAGGCUCCCUCCAUAGGCUUCCCCAGCCGUAGCGAAAGUGUUAAGUGCUCCGCCUGGGGAUAUGGUCGCAAGGCUG